GCGUGACUAAUAAUGCACGUCGAGCGGACCGACGGGAGCUUGCUCCCUUAGGUCAGCGGCGGACGGGUGAGUAACACGUGGGUAACCUGCCUGUAAGACUGGGAUAACUCCGGGAAACCGGGGCUAAUACCGGAUGCUUGAUUGAACCGCAUGGUUCAAUCAUAAAAGGUGGCUUUUAGCUACCACUUACAGAUGGACCCGCGGCGCAUUAGCUAGUUGGUGAGGUAACGGCUCACCAAGGCGACGAUGCGUAGCCGACCUGAGAGGGUGAUCGGCCACACUGGGACUGAGACACGGCCCAGACUCCUACGGGAGGCAGCAGUAGGGAAUCUUCCGCAAUGGACGAAAGUCUGACGGAGCAACGCCGCGUGAGUGAUGAAGGUUUUCGGAUCGUAAAACUCUGUUGUUAGGGAAGAACAAGUACCGUUCGAAUAGGGCGGCACCUUGACGGUACCUAACCAGAAAGCCACGGCUAACUACGUGCCAGCAGCCGCGGUAAUACGUAGGUGGCAAGCGUUGUCCGGAAUUAUUGGGCGUAAAGCGCGCGCAGGCGGUUUCUUAAGUCUGAUGUGAAAGCCCCCGGCUCAACCGGGGAGGGUCAUUGGAAACUGGGGAACUUGAGUGCAGAAGAGGAGAGUGGAAUUCCACGUGUAGCGGUGAAAUGCGUAGAGAUGUGGAGGAACACCAGUGGCGAAAGCGACUCUCUGGUCUGUAACUGACGCUGAGGCGCGAAAGC
rnacentral:rRNA from 1 species